AGACACACUUUUAACAUAUUUUUACUCUCUAAAGUAAAAGUUCUCUCUUUCAAAAACAUUUCUUCAAAGCUUUUUCUCUACAUCUUCAUUACAUCAUAUCAUCCUUCUCUCAUUUUCUCAAGGCUCUAAAGAAAACAACUUCUCAAGGAUAUAAGGGUAAGGGUAAGGCCCUAAAUAAAGAUGCCCUUGCCUCUUCUCUAGAUAUACUAACAAGAAUGAAGGGUAUAAGUUAAGAAGCAAGGAGCAAGUAUAACCUUGCAUAGAAGAAGUUUGAAGCUUCAAAGGCUCCACUCAACACUGAAUUUGGAAAAGUUGGAUCUAUAAAAAUAUUCUCAAACAUCUCAAUAACAUCCAAAUGGAGAAACUUGUAUACCCAAGCAUGGAUGGCUAUAAGGAACUCACCUUGGAGUUCUUAAGUUCCUUGGAUGUAAGCAAGAAACAAGGAGAACUUAUAUACUUUGGCAUCUCUUUCAAUCCCUUCGGUCAGAAGCUCUCCCUCAUAAAAAGUGAACUUGGUGCAGUCUUUAACUUUCAAGAGCAAGGAAUCAUCGCUUUGGAAGAUCUCUAAGUAAGUUUAGUCUCUUUUUGGAAGGAAAUCUCUAUUAAAAAAAAUUAGACAAAAACUCCAAAGCCAAACAUCUUAAAUCUCUUAUUUAUUGGACCCUUCAUAAGAUCAUCACACUUACCAUUCAAGAAAGGUGUGAUGGCAAUGAAAAAAUCACCCAAAAAGAUCUAAGCAUCCUCUAUUGCAUGAUCUACAACAUCAAUCCAAUUAACUUACUUUCUUAUUAACCACUUUGUCCAUCUCUCCAAAUCUUCUCGUGGAUGCAUCUUGGUUUCAUUUUAUGUAUCCAUAAGUACAAAUUAAUUCAAUCUCCUUACCCCUACCAACCUUGUCUUCUUAAAACACCCAUUACCAAUAAGCACCAACUACAUCACCAUUCAAUACUUCUUACAUUCCAUAAUGACAAAAAAGAAAAGUCACAACUCCUUAAAGGUAAUCUUGGGUGCUAGUGCAUUCUCUUCCACAUAAUAAACAAGGAAGGAAAAAAGAGUAAGGUUGCACAUUGAAGAGGGUGAAGAGGAAGAAGAAGAUGUGGAAGAGACAAGGAUUCAAGAAGAGAGGGUCGAGCAAGAAAUAGGUAUCUCUUAAGGAAGGGUCACCCUAAGGGACAACAUGAUGAUCUUCAUGACCAAGUAAGCCAAAAAGGUUGAAAAUUUUUAUAGGCUUCUUAAGUAUGUUCAUAAGGAUCUUAUUGCAAUACCCGAAAUUUUUCUUUAAUAAAGAUAAUAUUAAUAAUGAUUAAUAAAUGAGUCUUAUUUAAAUUAAUUUAAUUAUAUUUUUAUUCGGUUUAAUUGGAAUAAUUUAAACGCAAUUUUGAAAUUUAAUAUUAGACAAAUAAAGGAGUUAAAUAAAUUUUUAAUUUCCUAUCCUUUCUUCCAUUCACCAGUUCAAUCCCCCUUCUUGGUUCAUAAGAGCAAACAAUAGUUUUCUAAAAUAUUUAUAUUGAACUAAUCAUGCAUACCCUACAUCUAAUUAUAUAAAUCAUAUGAAAUAAGUAAAGGGAAAUUAUAAGAUACCCUAGAAUCAUAGAGAAUCAUAAAAAAGAAGAAGAUACUUAUGUGAUGAUGGAUUUAGAAACCCUCAGAUUGUCACCAUUUUGUGCAGUUCCUCGAGUCUCAGGAGUAGAGGAGGGGGUUAAAUCAAAGAUUGGGUAGGAAUCCAAGUGUUUUUGCUAUUUGUUUGAUUUUUGGGAGUUUGUGUAUGUUGCCUCAAAAAUAUACUGUCGUUCUCUACUAAUGAUUGCCAACCCCUGGUUUAGGUUUCUCUUUUCUAUUUAUAGAGAAUGAUGGAGGAAACCCUAGAGGCCAUGAUAUGCGUUUCUUUCUAUUAUUGAUAAUUACAAAUAAUUAUUUUGACUUAUCAAAACGCUUUGAUCGAUAAAUAUUGAAUAAAGCAUAAAAAUAUUUAAGAAUUUGAACAAUUAUCAGUAAAACCUUCUAGAAGAUGUAUUUUUAUUAUUUUUGGCAUUUUAAAGUGAAAAAUAACCUAAAAAGAUAUUAAAGUCCGAAAGUAGAGUCAAUCGCGACUAUGUUGAGCCAAUCGGCUCUACUCGGCUCUAUGUACAAUCAAUCCAACUGUAGGAGAGCCCAUUGGUUCCAAGUUGGCACUUUUCAAAAAGUUUUACAAUUUGACCAUUGAUCUUUCAAAUUUUUCAAUUUCACCCCGCAAACUUAAUUUUUUCGAUCAAUUUAGUCCAAAUUAAUUUUGAAAAAUGAUUUUUGGUUUAAUUAUUUGCAACCUUAGCUGUGAUUUGACCGUCCUUAAUUUCUUAAGACUCGAGAGAAAGAGUAACUUUCAUCAUCGAAUUUUCCAUAAGUCUCUCAAUAUCUACAUCCGAAAAAAUGGAUGCUUACUGUUUGCCUUUCGAUUUUUCAAGAUCUAUAAAGAUAUGCAUGAUUUAUAUAAAUCGAGACAAUUUAUAAAUAUUGAGGAUACGGUAAAAAGAAUAUUAGUAUGAGCUGUAGAAGCUAGCUUCAUAGGUCCGAGGUAGUGCAGACUUUCUAUAUGGCUUUGGUUUAAGGACCACAUCCAUCUGAUUUAGGGAUCACACCUAUCUGAUUUAGGGACCAUGCCCGACUAAAUUAGGGGCCACACUCAUCUAAUUUGGGGACCAUGGCUGUCACAUCUUAAAGACUUUCCUUCAAAGAUAAUUAUAGCUAUAUGAGCUGUAGAAUCUACAUUUCGUAGUCUGGAGUUGGUGCAGAAUUUCCAUAUAGCUUUGAUUUAGGGACCACGCUUAUUAUAUCAAAUUUCUAGACAUUAGGCACCUUCGCCGUUGUUUGGAGUUUUCUGGUCCCUUUUGUCAUGAGAAGUAUGAUGGUAAAUUGGGCCGAUUGGCUCUAUGUACAAUUGAUUCGGCUAUACGCAAAGCCAAUUGGCUUUAGGUUGGAAAUUUUCAAAAAGUUUUGCAAUUGGACCUGUAAACUUUUAGAUUUUUUAAUUUCACCCCGUAAACUUAAUUUUUCUAUCAAUUUAGUCCAAAUUGAUUUUGAGAAAUAGUUUUGGUUUAAUUAUUCACAACCCUAGCUGUAAUUUGACCAUCCUCAAUUUAUGUAGACUCGAGAAAAGCAGUACCUUUCAUUAUCGGGUUUUUUAAAAUUCUUUCGAUAUAUAGAUCCGGAAAACGGGUGCUUCUAGAAUUAGAAUUGAAUUAGAUUAUUCACUAAUUCAUUCUAUUAGAACUAGAAAAGUAAUUAUAUAUAUAAUUGAAAUAAGAGAAGAUUAGUAAUUACUGAUUAACUCUAAAGGUAUUGGGAGCGGCGAUUUUGAGCGUGCACCCAAGUGUCUUUAGCGACUACGAUAGUGCAAGGCUUUUCAACCUAAUGAGGAACAUGCUAACUAGCCAUAAAGACUAGCGCAGAGAUGAGAGUCGCCACUUGGGUAACUAGGACACUUUUACAAAUGAGUGAUGUUUCUCGAUUCUAUAAAGAAGCUUACGUCAUAAACCUAGAGAAUGAUCUGGAAGCCAACUUCCUUAUUUGUGUAUAUUUGUCUUUAAUUUUAUUGUUUAAUAGGCUAUUCCCUAUAAAUGCAACAUACUAUUUUUACUAGGGCUGAGCAUGGAUCUCGGUGAUUCCCGUCCGAACCGAAUAACCGUACCGAAAAGUACCAGAACCGAAAAAAACCGAAAGUUUUUAUAACCGAAUUGAACCGAUCCGAAUUUUUUUACUAUUACGGUAUGGUAUUGGUUCUUUAGUAAAAACCGUACCGUAACCGUACCAGAACUGAUCCGUCUUGUACUGAUCCGGACCAAACCGUAGAACCAAAUUUUUUACAUAUAUUUAUAAAUAAUUAUUUAUAUUAUAUAAAUAAUACAUAUAAUAAAAAAAUAAUAUAUAUACUCUAUAAAAAAUUAUUUUAUAUUUAUCAUUUAUAUAAUUCAAGCAAUUGUUAUCGAAAUACAAAAAAUAAUACAUAUUAAAAAUAACUAUAAUAUUAUAAUAUACUUUAUACUCUAUAAAAAAUAUAAGUUAUAUAUAUUAAUAUGUCACAUAGUAUAUUGAUACUAGUAAUCUAGUAUACAUACUAUAAUACUAGAUUUAAAAUUUAUUUACAAUCUAGAAAUUUUUAACAAGUUAAUUAAAAAAUUACUUAAUUUAAUAAAAACUUAUAUAAAUUAGUAAAAAUUAUAAAAAGAUAUUAUUAUAUAAAUAUAGUAUUAUUUACAAUAUAUUUAUUAAUAAAUUAAUUUUUAAUUAUGUAAUAUUUUUAUUUUAAGAAUAAUAAUAUUAAUUAUACUAAAAGUAUUAAUUUAUAUAAAUAUUAAAAUUAAGAAAUAAAUAUUUUAAAAAUAAUUUUUAUAUUAUUAUACUAAUAAAACAUAAAAAAUUAAAUAUUUAGAAAUAAUUAAUUUAUUAACGUUUAAAAUAUUAUAAAUUAAUAUUAAAAUAUAAAAAAAUAUUAAAUUAUAUUUAUAAAUUUAAUUUUUUUUUUUGAAAAGGAUCAAACAAAACUUGAGAAAAAAUUGUCAAAACAUCUUUUAACAAUAUAGAAGUUCUUUACUUCCUACAACAGCGGAGGUCCUCAUUUGUUGUCAACAUUGGCUUAAAAGUUCAAAUAAACCUAUCCAACUAGAAGAAUCAAUAGAGGAUAUUGAAAGCAUAGAGUCAUGUAAUAUUUCUUUACUUCUUACAUAUGUUUGUUUAUUGUUGAUGCUGUUAAGUCUUAUUGACGUGAUUUUUUACUUUUAUUGUAGAAAUUAUUCAAGAUCUUGAGAUUGGUGAGUCCCUUAUGCCAAGAUUAAAUGUGGAAUGCUAAUUUUGAGGGGAGGUAAUAACAUUUCUUUGCUAAUUUUGGACAUGUAUUUUAGUGCUACAUAAAGUUUGUAAAUUUAUUUAUUUUAAUGAUUGCCAUCUGUAAAAUAUUUUUAUGCUAGCA
rnacentral:lncRNA from 1 species